AAAAAAAAAAAAAAAAGUUUUACAGUCAGAAGGAAAACAAAAGGAAUCUGGAUCUACACAAGGAAUGAAGAGUACUGGAAAGGUGAAAACUCCAAAGCUUAACAUUUUAACCACUCUAGGGAGGGAGGAUGGGAGGAAGAGAGCUGAGUGUGCACCAAGGAGCGGUAAGAUGCCAGACCUGUGAGUGAAGAAGCAUCUUGGAAGUGGACCCUAUAGCUCCAGGCACCGGCUGACACAUAGUCGGAGACAAACCACCCAGUCAAGUUCAACCCAAAUUCCUGACCCAAAAAAUCAUAAGCAAAAUAAAAUAUUUGUUUAAAGCCAC
rnacentral:lncRNA from 1 species